UUAUUUUAAUGUGUGCCAUAUAGUUCUGUGUCAUAAAAUGUUUUUGUUAAGCAUGGUUACCUACACAAUUUAUAAUCUUUUAAAUCGUAUAAGUGAACAAAAUAUGAACAAUUAAUAAUCAAAUUUUGUUAGAAUAUAUUCAAUGAAAAUUGAAAUUUUAACUUCUUGUCCUAAAAAAACCUAAAUACCAUUAUAAAUAACCAAACAAAUACUUAAAUUUAUUGGCCAUAACUGUGGACUAAUAUCACUUGCUAAUAGGGCUGUGGCUCUGUAAAAUAAUUUUUAAGUGUAGUAAAUAAGUUAUUUUUCUUAGUACACUUUAAUUUAAAGUGAGUUUGAGUGAUGAUAAUAAUUAUAUUACUUGUAUUAUAUGACUAUAAAUAUUAUUAAAGUAACUAAAUUAAAAAGUAAUAAGUGCUGAGUACUAAAAAAAUUAUAUUGCAUAACUGAUAACAUAUGUUUUAGUCCUGAUAACUAUGAAGUCAUAACUAAAUUUGUUGGUAAAUAUGACAAACGUUAUAGCAUGGAAAAAUAAAAGCUAAGUAUUCUUAUAGCAAUUAUAUAACAUAGUUCAUUCUACUAUUUUUAAGAUGAAAAUAACUUUUGUUUUCUCUUUCUCUCACUAUGCAUUGAAGCGCUUGUACACAUAAUCAUGCAGAUUUAUAUAAUAAAUUAGGCAAAGGUUUGAUUGGCGUUAUGUGUAUCCCACCGACUUCCACAGCAGCUGGUACUAGCGGUUUAGAUUCCAACAUUGUGAAAUGAGUGUUAACCAUAAUCAAACUAGCAUUCAAAAUUAAUUGGUCCAAUGAAACUUCAAUGUCAAGUUUUUGUUUGAUGAUUGCUUCGUCUCUUGUCCGACGAAACAGUUUAUAACCAAGCCAGUUAAUGUUGAAGGUAUAUUGGCUAACGAAUAUGGCUGUCCAAUCGCAUGCUGAUUCCAGGGUAACAUGUUGCAAGAACUCAGUAGUAUAAAAGCGGAUAGUUAGUAAUAAUAGUGAUGUUGUGUCCUCGGUUGGCAAGUUCUAGGAUGUAUGGCUGGUAAACAACAUUGUGACUAAAGCCUUGAUGAGGAAACACAGCUAAGAUGUUGG